CCGUGGGUGCCGCUGUCCCCUGGGGUUCCCUUGGGGUGCCCAAGGGUGCCGUGGGAUCCCCCUGUCCCUUGGGGUUCCCUUGGGGUGCCCGAGGGUGCCGUGGGAUCCCCCUGUCCCCUGGGGUUCCCUUGGGGUGCUCGGGGGUCCCCUUGUCCCCCAGGACCCCUGUGUCCCCUCGUCCCCAUCACCCCUUGACCCCGCAGGUCCCAUCACUCCGAAGACGUACGCGGUGCUGCCGUGCGGGGGCAUCGGGGUGAGUGUGGGGCACGGGCCGGGGGUGUCCCCGGGGUGGCCGUGCCCCGCUGAGCCCCGGUGUCCCCGCAGGUGGACAGUGACACGGUGUGGAACGAGCUGCACUCGUCCAGCGCGGUGCGCACGGCCGUGGGCUGCCUGCUCGAGCUGGCCUUCAAGGUGGCUGCAGGGGAGGUCAAGAAUGGCUUCGCCGUCAUCCGCCCCCCAGGCCACCACGCCGAGGAGUCCACGGCCAUGGGCUUCUGCUUCUUCAACUCGGUGGCCAUCUCGGCCAAGCUGCUGCAGCAGCGGCUCAGCGUGGGCAGGAUCCUCAUCGUGGACUGGGACAUCCACCACGGCAACGGGACCCAGCAGGCCUUUUACAGCGACCCCCACGUGCUCUACAUCUCCCUGCACCGCUACGACGACGGCAACUUCUUCCCGGGCAGCGGCGCCCCCGAGGAGGUACCGGGGGAAUCUGGGGGUUG
rnacentral:lncRNA from 1 species